rnacentral:lncRNA from 1 species
AUUAGAGCAGAAAUUCUCUCCUGCCCUGUACUUCCUUCCCCACUUCCUACCUUUGAUAGUUGGAAUACUGGCAGGCAUCUCACCACCAAGAGAAGACAAACUAAAGGAUCAAAAGCAACGUACUGAAGAUAGGAGAGCAAAAGAUGAAAAUAACUUGGAUCGUUAGUGAUCCUGAAGGGCCACCAAAUAAACCUUUGGAUGCUUACCUCUAUACUUCCUAUUGACAAAACACUUCUCUACUUCAAGUUUUAUCACGGACCAGGACUGAUCAACUAAAUGCGAAUAGAUGUGUUCUAUAUCAGCUUCCCUAGAACACAAAGCCUGAAUCAAGGAUGAAAGGAAGAUGCUUUUUGGCAAGGCAUAAAUUCAGAGGAUCCAGGAUGAGGACAAAGGCAAGUGAGCUAUGCAAGAUGUAAAAUGAUGUUUCAACAACACAAAGCUGAUUGUUUGGCAGUUGCAUCUAUUUCAUGCAUAGAACUUCUCCAGAUGGACUACCAAGAAACACUGUGCUUCAAAGAAUUUGAUAAGGACUAUGAAAGGAUAACAGAGCUGUGAUGGAACUCGAGAUCUAAGUGAUUCUAAGUGACCCCCCAACACACAAUGAAGCCUCUGCAAAGAAAAGCUUAAAUUAAAAUAGAACACAAACUCAAAAAAAAAAAAAAAA